UCCCUGUGGCAUCACACCGUGAAAAUCGGAGCUCUUCCAGUAAUGUGUCUAACAUACCUGUCACAACCACUGUCAUCAAAACAUGCCGUUUAUGGGAAUACUCAAACUGGGAUUUCCAACUGAAAAUGUCAAUUUCCAAAAAGAUGAGCAAAUCGUAAAGAAAUUCUUUGCCUUUGAAGCAGUUUGGAAUGUGUUAUUUCUACAUAGACAUGGGCUCUUUUUGGCCUUGUUUUGCCCACAGCCUGUGUCCUGUGAAAGGCUAUGUGGCAGCUUUGUACAGCUAUUGUGGCCCUCUCGUGAGCUGCAUGUAAAUCACUACAUCUCUUAACAGGAAGUAAUGCCAGGAAACUUCUUACAAGGCAAAAAAAUCUUCAAGGUUGCAGGAUAACGCAAUAUAAAUUGAUAACCGUGAUCCCAUAGGGUUUUUUUCACUGGAUUAAAUUUCUUCCUUCUCUUCGAAAGAAUCCUUCUCUGCAAUUAAUGGCUGAACUAAGAAAAGUAAGAGAAGAGCUUAGAGAUAUGAAGUUGUGCUAUAAUAAAGCCAUGGAAAGACAGGAUAAAAUGAAUAAGAAGCUUCAGAAGAUGGAAAGAGCAAUGGGGCAUAUGAAUGAUAGAGUGGAAAAAACAGAAAAUGAUCUGCUUGUCUGGAACUCGGAAAGAAAUCGACUCUUGGAGAAAGUGGACAUGUUGGAAAAUUUCAGUAGACGUAAUAAUAUUAAAAUUGUUGGUCUUAAAGAAGGUAUGGAGGGAGAAAAACCAAUAGAAUUUUUUCAAAGAUGGAUCCCGGAAGUUUUGCAAAUGGCAGAGGAGGUUCAUCCAAUUGAAAUUGAGCGGGCACAUAGAGCUUUAAGACCAAAACCAAAAGAUGACCAAUAUCCACGAUCGAUUUUAAUAAAAUUCUUACGAUUUCAAGACAAGGAAAGGAUUCUACAGGCAGCUGCUCAAGCUGCCAAGGAUAGAAAAGGGCCAUUGAUGAUUCAAGGGAACAAAGUUUUUUUCUACCCUGAUAUAAGCUAUGAACUUUUGAAGAGCUGCCAUUUCUACAGCAUGGUGGUUGAAACAUCAAGGCCAGAGAUGAAUAGCCGAGUUUUCCUCAUGCAUGUCCUUGACCAUUUUUCAUGUACAGGAACUGACAGCUUUCCAGUUUGAUAACCAGUUCCAGUUGGCAUGGGGAAACCAAAGUAUGUCAAGGUUGCAAUCUACCUAUCCCUGAACUUGAGGGAGACCAGGUUUACGCUAUGUUAUUCUUCAGGUUUAUAUAUGUUGCAGACAUAUGAUCGGACAGAAAGUUUCAAUUUUUUUUAAGUAUGGAGAAUUGCUGAACCGAAACAAAAACAGAUUGGUUCACCCUUCGAGAGAAUGGGCAAUGGGCACCUGGAUACCCCUCCCAAUUUCCCUCUUCAGUGUUGGCCCUGGACGCAAUUUUUCAGGCCUCUAAAAGGGUCAGGUCAUCUUUAAUAGGCACACCUGUAACAAGCUGCUGCAGAUUAAUAAAAACCCCUCCUCAAAGUUGCCUCUUCCAUUGAAAGACAAACUGCUUCACUUUUUGUCAUUGGUAAACGCCAUAAAAACAGGAGGUGUGUUGGCAGCUCUGGCUGUAUACUGUCCUGCAGGUUAUGAUGGUAAGCUGAUGUAUUUACAUUCAGUCAAUCAGAUUCUCCCAUCACAGCACUGCAACCAGCACACUUUAUAACUAAGAGUUCAAUGGAAACGAAGAGAGAAUUUUAUUUUAACAUCCAUUGUUGGGGUUUGGGUGAUGGUGACGGAAUCCAAAAGACUUCAGUUCUGGAAGACUCCACAGCAUUCGUGGAGAAUUGAAAGGAUACUGAUCUCUUGGAGAUGAACUAGUUUUGCAGGUUAACCACAAAGCUAGGAUGGCGUCAGAGAGGCUUGUAUUAGAAUAUGUUUUUGAAUUGGAACUAUGACAAUAUAUCUUCCAGAGAAAGGAUUACGACAGACAAUAGCUUUCUCAGUGGUUCAGUGUUUCAAAAUAAAAUUUAUUUAUAGAUGAAUUAUUAUAGAUGGUUGGAAGUGAGUCAUCACACAGCAACAUAAUUGAAAGAUUCAAAAAAUGUCCAAAACAGGACCAUGCAGAUAAAGGUUGGUGGAGUCUAGUGAGCAAUGACAGAAUCUGUAUGAGGUCUGCAACUGUUGCCAAAUCUAAGAAAGUACUAUUAAAGUACAAAGUACAUUAAGCAAUGCUAUGGAAACUCUCUUUCGGAGUCUAUUCAUUGUGUAUCUUUGUGCUUCAGGCUAUUCAUAUUAAUCUUAACAAAGGAUUGUAUAAGUCAACCUUAUUCAAAGCCUAUUAUAAGAUCGUGCUGUCAGUGGGGAUUCGAUAUGUCUAAGGGACAACUUGUCCUUGGAAAAUAGACUAAAAUGUGCAAUGUUGGCUUGGUCUUAAAUCAUGAAGGAUGUUUAAUGAAUACCCUAGUUAAAUUGGUCCUUAAGAAUCCAGACCCAAAUCACAGGUGGUUUUAUUUAACCUUGUGAUACUCAUUCCUAUGCCAUGAAUUGUUUUGAGCUAUUGAAGUGUGCUCAGUAAGACAUGGUGGCUGCUGUCAACCCAGUGAAGAUGCUCCCAAAGGGUUAUUGACAAAGAGGCCAAGGCAGGCAUGAUGAUAGUGUCAGAUAGUGUGUGACUCAGUGCAAACACAAGAUUGUGGAUGCUGAACGUUGCUGCAGUUUUAUGAAAAACAAGCUCCUGGAGAAACUUCAAGCAACACACAUAAAAAUUGCUGGUGAACGCAGCAGAGCAGGCAGCAUCCUGGAGAAACUUGGUGGGUCAAGCAGCAUCUGUGGAAGGAAGUGCACGGAGUACGCUUCAUAUUGAGACCCUUUAUCUGGACCAAGAGUGGAGGAGAGAUGGCCAGAAAGAGAAGUGAGGUGAGGAGUGCUGGAGCAAGUGAUGGAUGGAUCCAGGUGAGGAAGGGCUGAUUGAUAAAUUGAGGAAGGAAAGAUAGAAAUAACAAGAUAAGCUAUCAGGAGAUGAGUGGAAACAACAAAGGCCUGCAGAUUGUGGAAUCAGAUACAAAAG